GUACAGUGGGAAAAAAAUAAAUUAUAAAAAAAAAUCCUAACAAACGUGUGAGAUAAGUUUAAAUUCUGUAUACAAAGAACAUCAUGUGGGAAGUUAAAAAAUAAGCAAUAUUGUUUCCACUUUCUGAAUGCUUGAAAUUUCUCAUAAUAAAAUUGUGGGAAAAAAUAAGCAACAGACUAAGAGAAAAUGUUUAUGACACAAAUUACAGGCAGAAUUAAUAGGGAAUGCACCAAUAAAUGCCAAAAAAUGAAAAAUUGAUAAAGAAUAGAUAGGUAAUUAAGAACAAAUGCCAACAGAUUAUACACAUAGGAAAAGCAGUUCAAACUGACUAGUAAUCAGGGAAAUGAGAAUUAAAUCAACAAAUAGCUAAUAUUUCUUAUCCACUAGAUUGGAAAUAAUUAAACAUAUUGCUCAUAUUCUAUGUUGGUUAAGGAAAUAGACACUCAUCCUCUCUUGUUUGGAGUAUUCAUAUCAAACCCUUUGGGAGGGCAGCUUGGCAGCAUAUUAACAUUUUAAAUGUGCAAACCACUUAAUUCAUCGAGUCCAUAUCUCAAAAUUUAUUUGAAAGGAAGACACAGUUUCUUCAAGACUCAUGUAAAAACCUUGGGAAAAUGCCCAUUUUUAGAGGGAUAAACCAUUGAUACACAUAAACCAUAGUCAUUAGGAAGAAUGUGGUAAAUGUACACGUAUUGACACAAAUUUUUUCGAAGGCGUUUAUCUUUGUCAUGAGAAAGGCCAACCAGUAAACAGUGCAUAGAACAUGAUUUCCGUUGUGUAAAGGGAAAACCAAAAUACUUGUUUUUCAUGGAGCCAUGACUGGAAGGAUGACCAUUGUAAUGUCUCGUUUCCCUCUGUCUUUUUCUCUCAAGGCUAACAAUUCCCCAUCUCUCCCUAACCCCUUCUCACAAGUGAGCAUGCAUACGACACACACCCAUACAAACACACACACACCACAAACGCGCACAUCCUAAUUAGGUUCUAAGAGUCUUUCCCUACUCUGUUCCAGUAGCACCCUGUACUUUCGUAUCCCUCAUCUAUACCAUAAUUGUUGAUUCACACUCUCUUGUUUAUACUAACUUCCUGAAGGGAGGGACAAUGUAUCAUAUGCUGGUGAGUUACAUAUUUGGGACUAUUAUAUGUUAGCCCCAAGGCACAGCACUGUGCUUGGCACACAGCAGGACCACAAUACGUAUUUGUUGAAUGAUAAAUAAAUCCUUUCCAAAAGGCAAUAUUGAGAUACAUCAGUACAUUGCUAAUUAAUAAAAUGACCAACACAUUCACAUCUCUAUCAAAUGAUUAAUUAGAGGAGAAGAAGAAAUUUGCAGGUGAUGAGGUGUGGAGCUGUGUCAUGAGCACUCUCUCCUCUAAGGAAUUACCUGCAGCAUUGUUUUCUCUCAUUUGCAAGGAGGUCAGCUGCUUGUCUUCACUUUGUAUGGACAUGAGCCUAAGCUUCACCUGGGGUCUUCUGCAUGCCUCUGAUAUGUGAAAUCACAGUGGAGAAAGGACGCAAGGGAGGUUUGAGGUUUUUUUGUUUGUUUGUUUGUUUAACCAGUUUAUCAAGUUGAAUACUGGCACCUCAGUUUUUAUUAAAGAAAAAGAAAAAA
rnacentral:lncRNA from 1 species